CAGUCGCCGCGGGAAUACGUAGUGUGCGAGCGUUAAUCGGAAUUACUGGGCGUAAAGCGUGCGCAGGCGGUUAUAUAAGACAGAUGUGAAAUCCCCGGGCUCAACCUGGGACCUGCAUUUGUGACUGUAUAGCUAGAGUACGGUAGAGGGGGGUAGAAUUCCACGUGUAGCAGUGAAAUGCGUAGAGAUGUGGAGGAAUACCGAUGGCGAAGGCAGCCCCCUGGGCCAAUACUGACGCUCAUGCACGAAAGCGUGGGGAGCAAACAGGAUUAGAUACCCCUGUAGUCCCUGUCUCUUAUAC
rnacentral:rRNA from 1 species